CCAGGCUCAACAGAACCUCACUGGGGCAGAGCCUGCCCCUCCGCUGUGACUGCAGCUUGGGCAGGGGAGCCCAGAGCCACUGUUUGAGAAGUAGAGUGACGCCUGCCCAGCCCGGGCCCAGUGAGGACCGGGUAAGGAGAAGUUUGAGCAAGACUGUGCGGCCGGGCCCUGCAAACACCUCAGCCAAACAAUGAACAAUCUGAGGUGAGGCCGGGGUAUGUGGAUGGCGUCCAGGACUGGAUCACCUUGGAAUGUCUACACUACAUUCCUCUCCUUCUGACUCUGCUUUCUUACCUAGAAAAUGGGGAUAGGGCUUUCCUGGCGGCAGAGUGGUGGAGAGUCCGCCUGGCAGUGUGGGAGACAUGCGUUCAGUCCCUGGUCAAGGGAGAUUCCACAAGCCACGGAGGAGCUGGGCCCAUGCUCAUGUGCCACAAUUACUAAGCCUGUGUUCUAGGGCCUGA